rnacentral:rRNA from 1 species
UGGGGAAUUUUGGACAAUGGGCGCAAGCCCGAUCCAGCCAUGCCGCGUGAGUGAAGAAGGCCUUCGGGUUGUAAAGCUCUUUCAGCGGGGACGAAACGGUUCGUGCUAACACCACGGACUACUGACGGUACCCGAAGAAGAAGCACCGGCUAACUACGUGCCAGCAGCCGCGGUAAUACGUAGGGUGCAGGCGUUAAUCGGAAUUACUGGGCGUAAAGCGUGCGCAGGCGGUUUGUUAAGACAGGUGUGAAAUCCCCGGGCUUAACCUGGGAACUGCGCUUGUUACUGGCAGACUGGAGUGUGGCAGAGGGGGGUGGAAUUCCAGGUGUAGCAGUGAAAUGCGUAGAGAUCUGGAGGAACACCGAUGGCGAAGGCAGCCCCCUGGGUUAACACUGACGCUCAUGCACGAAAGCGUGGGGAGCAA